rnacentral:rRNA from 1 species
GUGGGGAAUAUUCCGCAAUGGACGAAAGUCUGACGGAGCAACGCCGCGUGAGUGAUGAAGGUUUUCGGACUGUAAAGCUCUGUUGUUUAGGACGAAAGUGCCUGUUGCGAAUAGUUACAGGUAUUGACGGUACUGAACGAGGAAGCCACGGCUAACUACGUGCCAGCAGCCGCGGUAAUACGUAGGUGGCAAGCGUUGUCCGGAAUUAUUGGGCGUAAAGAGCAUGUAGGCGGGAAUCUAAGUCUGUUGUGAAAAUGCGGGGCUCAACCCCGUAUUGCGAUGGAAACUGGGUUUCUUGAGUGCAGGAGAGGAAAGGGGAAUUCCCAGUGUAGCGGUGAAAUGCGUAGAUAUUGGGAGGAACACCAGUGGCGAAGGCGCCUUUCUGGACUGUGUCUGACGCUGAGAUGCGAAAGCCAGGGUAGCGAACGGGAUUAGAUACCCUUGUAGUCC